rnacentral:rRNA from 1 species
UCCCAGACUCCUACGGGAGGCAGCAGUGGGGAAUAUUGCACAAUGGGGGAAACCCUGAUGCAGCGACGCCGCGUGAGUGAAGAAGCGCCUCGGCGCGUAAAGCUCUGUCAGCAGGAACGAUAAUGACGGUACCUGAAGAAGAAGCCCCGGCUAACUACGUGCCAGCAGCCGCGGUAAUACGUAGGGGGCAAGCGUUGUCCGGAUUUACUGGGUGUAAAGGGAGCGUAGACGGCGGGGCAAGUCAGAUGUGAAAGCCCGGGGCUCAACCCCGGUAUUGCAUUUGAAACUGUCCGGCUAGAGUGCAGGAGAGGUAAGCGGAAUUCCUAGUGUAGCGGUGAAAUGCGUAGAUAUUAGGAGGAACACCAGUGGCGAAGGCGGCUUACUGGACUGUAACUGACACUGAGGCACGAAAGCGUGGGGAGCAAACAGGAUUAGAUACCCUUGUA